AUCCAGUCGACAAGUCUCAAAUAGGACGAUAGGCGCGUCCUGGAU
rnacentral:hammerhead_ribozyme from 1 species